CCGAGGAGAUGCAGAAGCAGGUGGCUGCUGCAGGCGCCAUCCAGCCCAAGGAGGAGAUCGACUUGGAGUUUGGAUGUAUUAUGUAAACCUAGGAGAUGUAUUAUGUGAACCUGGGAGAUGUUUAUGUCAACCUUGAAGAUGUAUUGUGUUAUGUAAAACUGGAAGAUGUAUUAUGUGAUGUUAUAUGAUGAAUGAUUUUAAU
rnacentral:lncRNA from 1 species